CGCCCUGACUUAGCUUUUAUCACCGGGGUACUCGGUAGAUAUCAAGAGAAUCCAGGCCUAGAGCACUGGAAGAUGGUAAAGAAAGCAUUGCAUUAUGCGCAAGGCACGAAGGACUACAUGCUAAUAUACAGGAGAAGUGAUUCCCUAGAGAUAAAAGGGUAUUCAGAUGCAGAUUUUGCGGGGGACAGAGAUGAUAGAAAAUCCACGUCAGGAUACGUCUUCACUCUCGCUGGGGGAGCUAUUUCGUGGAAAAGCUCCAAGCAGUCGAUAGUUGCAUCAUCCACGAUGUAUGCAGAAUUUAUAGCAUGCUUCGAAGCCACGGGGCAGGCGAUAUGGCUAAAGAAAUUUGUACCCGACUUGAAAGUGGUAGAUUGCAUUCACAAACCACUAAAGAUGUACUGUGAUAACCAGCCCGCAGUA
rnacentral:rRNA from 1 species